rnacentral:misc_RNA from 1 species
AAGAAUGGAGUUUGAAGAAGAUGGUGAUGACAGUGAUCAUGCUGAGGCACACCAUGGAGGAGAAAGCAAGUUAGACAGUACGCUUUAGUCAUUCUUUAGAAGAAGGAGAAGAAAUUUAGCUACAAUAUUACAAUUACUUCAAGGAAUUCAAGCUAGAAUGGCAUAUAAAUCAGAGAAUUAUAAAGAAGAUAGGAAUAGAGAUGGAGAUAGAGGUAGAGGGCCAAAAGCAUAUCCCACCCCUGAACUUGCACCUAAAAAUCAAUUUGCCCCCAAAUUCCAUGUCUGCAUACUUAUAGUCAAUAACGCAUACUUCAGUGCGUGAUCUACACACGUCUGCUGACUGAGCAAAAUUAUAUUCAAUUGAUUCAAUUCUUUAAAUUGAGGGGGAAAAUUGUUCAAUUGUAAUGGAAAGAAGUAGAGAGAAAAAGAGGGAAAAUAGGAUAGAAAGAGAGAAAAUUAAGCAAAAAAAAUUAACAAGUUUCAUGAUAUUUCAAGCAUUUGAAGAAACAAGUUUCCUAAAAUGCUGAAAGUGAGAAAUUAAAGAAGAAAAAUAGAAGA